rnacentral:rRNA from 1 species
GGGAAAGAUGAAAAGCACUUUGGAAAGAGAGUUAAACAGUACGUGAAAUUGCUAAAAGGGAAACGCUUGAAGUCAGUCGCGUCGUCCGGAACUCAGCUUUGCUUCGGCUUAGUGCACUUUCCGGUUGACGGGCCAGCAUCGAUUUUGACCGCUGGAAAAGGGCUGGAGGAAUGUGGCACCUUCGGGUGUGUUAUAGCCUUCAGUCGCAUACAGCGGUUGGGAUCGAGGAACGCAGCGCGCCUUAUGGCUGGGGUUCGCCCACAUUCGCGCUUAGGAUGCUGGCAUAAUGG